CAGUCGCCACGGGAAAACGGAGGGGGCUAGCGUUGUUCGGAAUUACUGGGCGUAAAGCGCACGUAGGCGGCUUUGUAAGUUAGAGGUGAAAGCCCGGAGCUCAACUCCGGAAUUGCCUUUAAGACUGCAGAGCUAGCAGGUGAGAGAGGUGAGUGGAAUUCCGAGUGUAGAGGUGAAAUUCGUAGAUAUUCGGAAGGAACACCUGUGGCGAAAGCGGCUCACUGGACCAUUACUGACGCUGAUGCACGAAAGCUAGGGGAGCAAACAGGAUUAGAUACCCGCGUAGUCCCUGUCUCUUAUA
rnacentral:rRNA from 1 species